GGCGGUGAUUAUAUCACAGUGGAUCCACCCGUUCUCAUUCCGAACACGGUAGUUAAGCACUGUAGAGCCAAAGGUACUUGCUUGGAAACGGGCCGGGAGAAUAGGUCGUUGCCGCUU
rnacentral:rRNA from 1 species